GACGAACGCUGGCGGCGUGGAUUAGGCAUGCAAGUCGAACGGUAUCAUCCUUUCGGGGGUGAGAGAGUGGCGAACUGGUGAGUAACACGUAGGUUAUCUACCCUCAAGACGGGGACAACCCAGGGAAACUUGGGCUAAUACCGGAUGUGAGCAACUUUUUAGUUGUUUGAAAGGUGGCGUAAGCUGUCGCUUGGGGAUGAGCCUGCGUCCUAUUAGUUAGUUGGUGAGGUAACGGCUCACCUAGGCAAUGAUAGGUAGGCGGCCUUAACGGGUGGUCGCCCACACUGGGAUUGAGAUACGGCCCAGACUCCUACGGGAGGCAGCAGUCGAGAAUAGUCUACAAUGGUCGGAAGACUGAUAGUGCGACGCCGCGUGAACGAUGAAUCCCUUCGGGGUUAAAGUUCUUUUAUAUGUGAGCAGUGCUUCUUAUAUUAACAGUAUGGGGAAGAGAUAUUAGCAUAUGAAUAAGCAACGGCUAACUCCGUGCCAGCAGCCGCGGUAA
rnacentral:rRNA from 1 species